CCAAGAAGGCUGUCCUUCAUUAAAAAAAACAUUUCUAUAUCCGAAGAGUUAACCCUUCUCGUCGGAUAAUUUCUAAAAAUUCUUUCAAAUAAUUCCUGAAGCUUUCUUCAAAAAUAUCGGACGCAACAAUAACCUCGCCACCAUUGCUAACAACUUUAUCCCUUCAAGGUUCAAUCAGCUUCACCAUCAUCUUCUGGAACUUAGACGGCGCAUUCUUAAGCCCGAAAGGCAUUCGAUUAAAUUCAAAAUGACCACUGUGAGUGAUGCGAGGUGUAUCCCUUCGACCGUUCUUCUCCUCCAAUGUGUUAGUUUUUACCUGAAAAUAUCGACAACACACCAUCCACAGUUGGCAUUGGUCAUGGCUGUUUGUCAGUUACCUCAUUGAAAGCCUGGUAAUCAACACAUAGUCGGUCUUCACCAUUUGCCUUUGGCGCUAGUACAAUGGGAGGUGCGUAUAACAAUGAUGACGGACGGAUAAUGUACAAAUCCAAAAGCUCGUUCACUAUUCGGUCGACCACUUGUUGUCUUGGAAUCGGUAACGCAUAUGGUUUUCUCACGAACAGUUUGGAAGGUUUAACCGAUUUUUCAAUCUUUGUUGCAUUACACUUUCCAUUCAAAUACUCACCGAAACAAUUCUAAUUAUUGUGUUAUAAACAAAACAGUUCUUUCUUUUCAUUGUCUUUCAAAUUUUCAGUACACCCAAUAUUAUUGUAAAUUUUCAUUUACCACUCGGCCAUUCACCAUAAUAUCCUAUUCAAUUAGAACUUGAUAGGUAAUUUCUUUAUCAUCGACAGCAAAAAGUUCACAAUCAUAGCAUUGUCUGUCAAUUGUUAAUUUAAUGCUUGCUGUCUUCAACCCCGUUUACACUGCUCUUUAAAUCCGGAUUUAAUGGCUAGAUCAUCUGUUUUCCCUUUAUAAAAUCAGCUGAUUUAAUGAGCAAUGUAAACGGGGUUUUACGCGCGCAACGAUAUUUGACUCCCGCGAAACCUUGGAGGGAUUUACAACGCGGCACAAAUUCAUAAUACAGUUUCUCGGCUACGCAUUGCUUUACCAGGGAAAGCGCAUUUCCCGAAUCUAUCAUUGCAAUGAAACUCAAAUCAUUUCAUUUCACAUCUUUGGUUAUCAUUUUCGUUUUUACAAUCGCAUUCACAGAUUUUUUGCACUCUACGGUGGCUUAGGACAAUUUUGCGAUAUAUGCGAUAUGAUAUAUAUUUCGAUUUAUUAUCACAUGGUCUACGUUAGAAGUCUUUCUUUGCAGGCAUAUUUUGUCGUACUUGCUCAUUUUGAACUGUGACACACUGUACCGAUUUCAAUAUAUCCGAACACUUAACGAAUGACAUUGCGGAUAGAGUUCUCCCUAAAACCUCAUCAUGUAGCCCGUUAACAAUAUAUUUAGUCAUCGCUUUAUCGUCUAGAGUACCAUGGAGACCGAUAGCUAACAUGCUACAUUAGUACUCGACCAUUGUUUCACCUUGGUUUUGUUUAGUAUUCAUCAAUUGAAUCUCGGCACUAUUUAUAACGCAUGGAAAGUCGUCCGAAAAUGCAGCAACAAAGUCUUUGCAGUUUUUAAAUACUGGCCGACCAUUAACACAACAUUUCGCGGCGCCUAAUAAUUUACUUUGAAUUGUGAAUGACACAAUUCCAUCAUGCCACUGGUAUACGUCUUUCAAUUCUUCAACCCUUUCAACAAAUUGAACUGAUGUGAUGAGUAUCAAUUAAUAACAUGAUUAAUAAAAGCAAACAACGGUUGGUUAUGAGAAUUAUCCUACUUGGCUUUACCGUGAUUAGCUAUAUCAUUGUCUCCAAAUAAUGCUGGUGUUGAAAUAAAACAUUCCAUCGUAGUUGAUUGAACAUAAAGUUCGCAUCAUCUACCAUAUUCGAUUGGCUGCAAAAGCCGAAUUGAAUUUUAGGUUAUGCCGUACACAUAAAACAACAGACGACAGACCAUCACAAUUGCAUACUACACUCACUGCGAUAACAGUGACAUGCAUUUGUAUUUGUAUUUUUAUUAUGAUAAAACCCAUACAAAAGACAGUGUCUUAUAUAAAGCAUGGGUUAGUAAAUUGAUAAAUACAAUGAGUUCAACAAGUUUUCAUUUAAAUAGAACAAUAAUUGGUACAAAAUAUUUAACAAUUUGAGCAAAGUUACUGAUACAAUAUUUAAGUUAAAAAAAAGUUUAAACAAAACAAAAAAAAAGAAAAAGAAACUUUAAAGAAAAUUUAACAAUUUAAUCAAAGUUACUAAUAAAAUAAAUUAAAAAAAAAUAGUUAUAAAAAAAACAAAACAAAUAAUUAAUUAAAAUGAUUAUAAAUCAAAGAUUUGAACUGUCGCUCAUUACUUAUAAUUUGAAUACUAUUGGGAAGAUUAUUCCAGAGAAAGUUAGCAAAACGCAAAACAGAAGCCAGAUAUGACGGUUCAUUGGUAUAAAUUAUCUUGUGGAUCAUUUGCAACAAGCGUAUCUUAAGGAACGAGUUAAAAGAGACACCAUAUACUUGUCUGGAAAAGUCAGAUACCCGGUCUCUUCUACGCAAACCAAAAAUGUAUCUAACGACAUCGUUAAAGGCCACAUGCAAUUUAUUCCUAUGAGUUACAUCACAACCGUAAAAAACCUCGCAAGAGUAUAAUAGUUUCGGCAGAAUAAACGUCCUAGCCAAAAGCAUUCUUAUUGACAAAGGGGUAUACUGUCGACUCAUAUAUAAGUUUCGUUAAACGCCGUAGGUCCUGCCCACUGUCAUUCUGACAUGAUUCUUCCAUGAAAGUCUAUCAUCAAACUCCAAACCAAGGUUUCUUGCAGAUGAAACAAUCUCAAUUGGGGCUCCAGCAAUUGCCACAUCAAGAUUGGGCGGCAUUGUCACCCGAUUCCUACCAAUUACAAGGCACUGUGACUUUAUUGGAUUUAAAAGAAGUCCGUUGGCGUUUGCCCAUGUGUUUAUCCUAUCCAAGUCAUUAUUUAGUCGAAGUACGCCAUCGAUCAACCUCCCCGGCGAGGAGCUCAUAUACAGCUGUACGUCGUCGGCAUACAUAUGAAUACCACAGUUGCGCAACUGUCCAGGAAGGUCAUUGCUAUAUAAGGAAAAAAGGAGUGGGCAGUGCAGUUCGUGAUCAUUGCAAAGAAACAGUUGCUGGAAAUGAGAAAUACGGAGUGCCUAUUUCAAAGAUGAAAUAAAAGUUGAGUAAAUAGAUUUAAACAUUCUCUUAAAUGUAUUUACUCAACUGUUUUUUUUUUGUCAUUCAAUAACGACAACUAAUAAAAUUUAUUUGCUACCAUAUAA